AUUGAACGCUGGCGGCAUGCUUUACACAUGCAAGUCGAACGGUAACAGGUUAAGCUGACGAGUGGCGAACGGGUGAGUAAUGCAUCGGAACGUGCCCGAUCGUGGGGGAUAACGCAGCGAAAGCUGCGCUAAUACCGCAUACGAUCUGAGGAUGAAAGCGGGGGACCGUAAGGCCUCGCGCGAUCGGAGCGGCCGAUGUCAGAUUAGGUAGUUGGUGGGGGAAAGACUCACCAAGCCAACGAUCUGUAGCUGGUCUGAGAGGACGACCAGCCCCGAUGGGACUGAGGCACGGCCCAGAUUCCGACGGGAGGCAGCAGUGGGGAAUUUUGGACAAUGGGCGAAGGCCGGAUCCAGCAAUGCCGCGUGCAGGAAGAAGGCCUUCGGGUUGUAAACUGCUUUUGUACGGAGCGAAAAGGCUCUCUCUAAUACAGGGGCUCAUGACGGUACCGUAAGAAUAAGCACCGGCUAACUACGUGCCAGCAGCCGCCGUAA
rnacentral:rRNA from 1 species